ACUCCUACGGGAGGCAGCAGGGGGGAAUAUUGGGCAAUGGAGGAAACUCUGACCCAGCGACGCCGCGUGCGGGAUGAAGGCCUUCGGGUUGUAAACCGCUUUCAGCAGGGAAUAAGCGCAAGUGAAGGUACCUGCAGAAGAAGCACCGGCUAACUAUGUGCCAGCAGCCGCGGUAAU
rnacentral:rRNA from 1 species